rnacentral:rRNA from 1 species
CCUACGGGAGGCAGCAGUGAGGAAUAUUGGUCAAUGGCCGGAAGGCUGAACCAGCCAAGCCGCGUGAAGGACGAAGGUGCCAAGCAUUUUAAACUUCUUUUGUCAAGGGACAAAAUCAGGCGCGAGAGCCUGACCGAGGGUACUUGAAGAAAAAGUAGCGGCUAACGCCGUGCCAGCAGCGGCGGAAAUACGGAGGAUGCGAGCGUUAUCGGGAUGUAUUGGGGUAAAAGGGUGCGUAGGCGGGCUGUUAAGUCAGCGGUAAAAGCCCGGGGCUCAACCCCGGCGAGCCGUUGAAACUGGCUGUCUUGAGAUGUCGAGAGGUAUGCGGAAUGCGCAGUGUAGCGGUGAAAUGCUUAGAGAUUGCGAAGAACUCCGAUUGCGAAGGCAGCAUACCGGAGGCGAUCUGACGCUGAGGCACGAAAGCGUGGGUAUCGAACAGGAUUAGAUACCCCAGUAGUC